AGGAGGAGGGGGAAGAGGGAGUUCUCUUUUCUCCUGAGUCUGGGGGCGCCAGCUGGAGAUCUGCCCGCCCCCAACUCCCUGCCCUUCUGUGCCCCCACCCCCCAACCCCGGUCACGUGAGAGAUCCCAGAAAUUCCUGCACUGUCCCGAGUGGCUGUGUGCGAGCCAGCACCUGGUGAAAGGGGCCUUUCCAUGUACCUUAUCGUGGAAGAGAAAGAGGGAACUGUCCCUGAACCUGCGGAUCUCUAUGAUUUACCGACUGAAAGAAAAGAGUUGUUUUAAUGUGCACUUCUCUCAUUAUGGGGGAUUUUGGAGCAUUUUGUCAUAGGGCUAUUGGAAGGAAAAAAAAAUUGAGCACAACUGAUUGAUGCAUGUGGAAAAGGUGUGCAGUAUGUCACAUCUGUGAACCUCUCACGUCCUGAACAGGGUGAUGGUGUCUUCUCAUGUUUCCUUUUUCAGUCCCACUUGAUCUUUAACAUUUUG